rnacentral:rRNA from 1 species
GAUGAACGCUGGCGGCGUGCCUAAUACAUGCAAGUCGAGCGAACGGACGAGAAGCUUGCUUCUCUGAUGUUAGCGGCGGACGGGUGAGUAACACGUGGAUAACCUACCUAUAAGACUGGGAUAACUUCGGGAAACCGGAGCUAAUACCGGAUAAUAUUUUGAACCGCAUGGUUCAAAAGUGAAAGACGGUCUUGCUGUCACUUAUAGAUGGAUCCGCGCUGCAUUAGCUAGUUGGUAAGGUAACGGCUUACCAAGGCAACGAUGCAUAGCCGACCUGAGAGGGUGAUCGGCCACACUGGAACUGAGACACGGUCCAGACUCCUACGGGAGGCAGCAGUAGGGAAUCUUCCGCAAUGGGCGAAAGCCUGACGGAGCAACGCCGCGUGAGUGAUGAAGGUCUUCGGAUCGUAAAACUCUGUUAUUAGGGAAGAACAUAUGUGUAAGUAACUGUGCACAUCUUGACGGUACCUAAUCAGAAAGCCACGGCUAACUACGUGCCAGCAGCCGCGGUAAUACGUAGGUGGCAAGCGUUAUCCGGAAUUAUUGGGCGUAAAGCGCGCGUAGGCGGUUUUUUAAGUCCGAUGUGAAAGCCCACGGCUCAACCGUGGAGGGUCAUUGGAAACUGGAAAACUUGAGUGCAGAAGAGGAAAGUGGAAUUCCAUGUGUAGCGGUGAAAUGCGCAGAGAUAUGGAGGAACACCAGUGGCGAAGGCGACUUUCUGGUCUGUAACUGACGCUGAUGUGCGAAAGCGUGGGGAUCGAACAAGAUUAGAUACCCUGGUAGUCCACGCCGUAAACGAUGAGUGCUAAGUGUUAGGGGGUUUCCGCCCCUUAGUGCUGCAGCUAACGCAUUAAGCACUCCGCCUGGGGAGUACGACCGCAAGGUUGAAACUCAAAGGAAUUGACGGGGACCCGCACAAGCGGUGGAGCAUGUGGUUUAAUUCGAAGCAACGCGAAGAACCUUACCAAAUCUUGACAUCCUUUGACAACUCUAGAGAUAGAGCCUUCCCCUUCGGGGGACAGAGUGACAGGUGGUGCAUGGUUGUCGUCAGCUCGUGUCGUGAGAUGUUGGGUUAAGUCCCGCAACGAGCGCAACCCUUAAGCUUAGUUGCCAUCAUUAAGUUGGGCACUCUAAGUUGACUGCCGGUGACAAACCGGAGGAAGGUGGGGAUGACGUCAAAUCAUCAUGCCCCUUAUGAUUUGGGCUACACACGUGCUACAAUGGACAAUACAAAGGGCAGCGAAACCGCGAGGUCAAGCAAAUCCCAUAAAGUUGUUCUCAGUUCGGAUUGUAGUCUGCAACUCGACUACAUGAAGCUGGAAUCGCUAGUAAUCGUAGAUCAGCAUGCUACGGUGAAUACGUUCCCGGGUCU